rnacentral:rRNA from 1 species
AGGGUUUGAUUCUGGCUCAGAUUGAACGCUGGCGGCGUGCUUAACACAUGCAAGUCGAACGCGAAAGAGACUUCGGUCUCGAGUAGAGUGGCGCACGGGUGAGUAACGCGUGGAUAAUCUGCCCUCAUGACCGGGAUAACAGUUGGAAACGGCUGCUAAUACCGGAUACGCUCUGAAUGAACUUUUAGGGGAAAGACGGCCUCUGCUUGCAAGCUGUCGUAUGAGGAUGAGUCCGCGUCCCAUUAGCUGGUUGGCGGGGUAACGGCCCACCAAGGCAACGAUGGGUAGCCGAUCUGAGAGGAUGAUCGGCCACACUGGAACUGAAACACGGUCCAG